rnacentral:rRNA from 1 species
UACGUAGGUGGCAAGCGUUGUCCGGAUUUACUGGGCGUAAAGGGCGUGCAGGCGGUUUGUUAAGUCUAGGGUGAAAGCUCCCGGCUCAACUGGGAGAGGUCCUUGGAUACUGGCGAACUUGAGGGAUGCAGAGGAAAGUGGAAUUCCCGGUGUAGUGGUGAUAUGCGUAGAUAUCGGGAGGAACACCAGUGGCGAAGGCGGCUUUCUGGGCAUUUCCUGACGCUGAGACGCGAAAGCUGGGGGAGCGAACAGG